rnacentral:lncRNA from 9 species
GUACAGGGCUUUUCUCUAUUCUUCUUAAAUUGGAUGGGCAGAUAAAAGUGCUCUCUACCCAAGACCCAUGUCAAAGCUUUGCUCAUGACACAUAAAAGGAAACUCUUGGAGUUCCCGUCGUGGCGCAGUGGUUAACGAAUCCGACUAGGAACCAUGAGGUUGCGGGUUGGGUCCCUGCCCUUGCUUAGUGGGUUAACGAUCUGGCGUUGCCGUGAGCUGUGGUGUAGGUUGCAGACGUGGCUCGGAUCCCGUGUUGCUGUGGCUCUGGCGUAGGCCGGUGGCUACAGCUCCGAUUCAACCCCUAGCCUGGGAACCUCCAUAUGCCGUGGGAGCGGCCCAAGAAAUAGCAACAACAACAACAACAACAACAAAAAGACAAAAGACAAAAAAAAAAAAAAAAAAAAAGGAAACUCUUGACAUUUACCAACUCUUUUAUUUUCCUUGCAAUGGUCAGCCUUCAAGCCCUGUCUCUGGAGAGUUGACACUAAGCCCUGCAGCAGAAGGAGGCUCCUUUUUCCCUCUUGCCUCAAGCUUUGACAGCAGGUGCCAUUGGUCAAGAGAGGGGAGAGAGACAGGAGAAUGGGUCAAAACUGUAAAAGCACAUGGCUUUUCCUGGAUUGAGAAGCAGCUGGGUAUCAGCUCUGUUGCCUUCUCCACCCUGGUAAGUACUUCCUCUCCUCUAUUACAUUGUCAUCGAGUGCUAUUCUGGGGGAAAGGUAAAGGGAGGGGAGGGACUGAACCUUCCUUCCCAGAGUUAAAACAGAAGGGGAAGGGCUGAGACCCAAAUAAGAAACCCAGAACUAGAUUUACUCCUUCAGGCAAGGCUUGAUCCAGGGACUCUCUCGUACUCCCUCUUGUCUGCACUUCUGCCACAGAGGGAAGAUAUUGGAAGUGGUGGUGAAGAGCACUGCCUGGGUUGACUUGGGGGAAGUUCCUCAACUGAUUCCUGCCCGAGUUUUCUCAUUGUUAAAGUGAGGAUAAUAAUAAUACCUGCCUCAUAGGAUUUGAGGAAUCAAUAAAAAUGUUAUAUAUUUAUGUUAUAUAAAGUGCUUUGAACAGUGUGACACACAGAUUAGAUCCAUGGUCUAUGGAGCCUGAAGUUUAUACAAGUUGAUACAAAAUUAUAUAAGAAAGUGAAUAUUUAUUUAGAAUGAUAAAAGAAAUCACGUAAAAACACAAAUUGUAAAAGACUGACAAAUGCCAAAUUAUCACAAAAAAUUUGAAAGGAACAAUUUUUUUUUUAAUCCUUUUUUUUGGUCUUUUUAGGGCUGCACCUGCAGCAUAUGGAAGUUCCCAGGCUAGGAGUCAAAUUGGAGCUGUAGCCACCAGCCUACAUCACAGCCACAGUGACACAGGAUCCGAGCCGCGUCUGCAACCUACAUUACAGCUCACAGCAAUGCUGGAUCCUUAAACAACUGAGCGAGGCCAGGGAUCG